rnacentral:rRNA from 1 species
UACGGAGGGUGCAAGCGUUGUUCGGAAUUAUUGGGCGUAAAGGGCGCGUAGGCGGUGCUAUAAGUCUGUGGUGAAAUCUCUGGGCUCAACUCAGAGUCUGCCAUAGAAACUGUAGUGCUAGAGUGUGGGAGAGGUGAGUGGAAUUCCCGGUGUAGUGGUGAAAUGCGUAGAGAUCGGCAGGAAGACCAAGGGGGAAGCCAGGCACCUGGGCCCGUACUGACACUCAUGGACGACCGCGUGGGGAGCGAACCGG